rnacentral:rRNA from 1 species
AUUGAACGCUGGCGGCAUGCCUUACACAUGCAAGUCGAACGGCAGCGGACCUUCGGGUGCCGGCGAGUGGCGAACGGGUGAGUAAUAUAUCGGAACGUACCUUUCAGUGGGGGAGUAACGUAGCGAAAGUUACGCUAAUACCGCAUAUUCUGUGAGCAGGAAAGCAGGGAGUCGCAAGACCUUGCGCUGAUUGAGCGGCCGAUAUCAGAUUAGCUAGUUGGUGAGGUAAAGGACUCACCAAGGCGACGAUCUGUAGCGGGUCUGAGAGGAUGAUCCGCCACACUGGAACUGAGACACGGUCCAGACUCCUACGGGAGGCAGCAGUGGGGAAUUUUGGUACAAUGGGGGCGAACCCUGAUCCAGCCAUGCCGCGUGAGUGAAGAAGGCC